AUCAUAAUCUUUUACAACGAAAAAUAGUUAACCUUCAAAUAAAACAGGUUUUAGGGAACAAACACGCUCUUCAAGCAGUUUCCCUAAAUUGUAACACAGCCAUUUGGCUUUUUGACUUUUUUUUACAUAAAAAUAAAACAAAAUAAUGGAUUUAGCUCCUGAAAUCGCUUGGUGUCCCUCCGAUUUGUUUCCCCUUACGAUUGCUCUUCUAUAUUGACGUCGUGCCUGAGAAAGGUUUAAUUGUAAAACCGAAACAGCUGUAGCACCGAUUUGCCAGUUUAAAUAAACUAUUUUUCGUCGUACAUUCAA